rnacentral:rRNA from 1 species
UACGGAAGGUCCGGGCGUCAUCCGGAUUUAUUGGGUUUAAAGGGAGCGCAGGCUGGUUAUUAAGCGUGACGUGAAAUGUAGCCGCUCAACGGCUGAGUUGCGUCGCGAACUGGUAGUCUUGAGUGAGUGCGACGUCAGCGGAAUUCGUGGUGUAGCGGUGAAAUGCUUAGAUAUCACGAAGAACCCCGAUUGCGAAGGCAGCUGACGAGCCCUUUACUGACGCUAAAGCUCGAAGGUGCGGGUAUCGAAC